GGAAGAGAGUAGGGAAGUAGAGGCCGGCCAUGGCCAUGUGGAGAGAUGGGGGAAGGGAAGGCAGAGAGAGGAAGAGCAAGGGAGCAAAAGUAAGAGCAAGAGAAUAAGAGAGCGAGGAGGGGGCAAGCAGCCCCUUUUAUAGUGGGCUGGGACAUUCUGGCUGUUGCCAGGUAACUAUGGGGGUGGAGUCCAGGGAGAAUAAAUGCCAGGAGCUUGGGGCAUUGCCUACAUGACUGAUGGCCACACACCUCUCUGCAGGGGACAGGCGGAGCUGUGUGAGGUUGUAGCUUCGGAGCCAAGGGCCCAGGAGGCGUGGCCAGAAACCUGCUGUCCCUUAGGGUCACCAGGGAUCAAGACCUGUGCUUGACUGGGGACCAGGUUGUCUGUACAUAGCUCAGAUAUCAGUUCAAUAUAUGAAACAUGAAUGAGCAGCUACUCCUUUGUGAUCAGUAGAUGGGUAGACAUGUGAGUCUCAGAGAAAGCUGGGGUGUGACCAAGGCUCUGAUACCUGCAGUGGUGAGGGUAGCCUGCCUGCCUGCCUGCCUGCCUGCCUGCCUGCCUGCCUGCCUGCCUGCUGCACCUCUUCUCUUGGACCUUGGGGUCUCAGGGAGUCAGGACAAAGAGUGAUGUCUAUCCUGAGGAGGACAGGUGGCAAAAACAUGCUUCUCACAUAUGUGCAAAGAUGGGCGGACUGCAUAGAGCUACACAUUUGGAACACCCUGAUUUUUCUACCUGAAGCAUGAGCGCUCUCAAGACAGUAGCAUCGACAGAUGCUGGCGAUGGAAGCAUGCAUCGCAGGUACUUAUCAGUAUGCAAGACAAGACCUGACCUUGGAGCAUGGCAGCGUCAUUUGCCCAAGAAAGGGACACCGGUGACCAAGCCAGCAUUCCCUGGAAUGUUCCACAGAGCCUGGGAGCAAAGGGAGCUCGUGGAGUUUGUAUCUUCUGCUGUAUCCUGCAGGGCUCACUGAUGUGGGUAAAGAACCCUUGGAUGAAGCCACCCAAUAUCCUGAUGUCUGAAUCCAAGGAAAGAACUGUUGGAAAGCCAAGCAAGAGCCAGCAUUGGAUGGCCGCCUCCAGACCAACCCAUGGGCCACAAAAUUCUAUUUUUCUCCCAUGCUCUUAGACAACAUUUAUUCCUUAAAAGUGAAGAAUGGGUUUCACAGAAUGGCACAAGAGACAAAGAGGAUCUUGUCAGAGAUGCUAUUCAAUAAUAAGCUAAUAAAAUGUUUGAAUGCCGGAGUCAUCGAAGGCAGGUAAUGACACAUCUCCUGCUUCUCUUUAUUUUAUUUUUAUAGGCCAGAUAAAUGAAAUUAAACCAUCUCUCCUGUUCAACAGUUUGAGAUGCACAGUUAAUAACAGCUGUCUCUGCUCCCACCACGCAAGGCUGGGCUGCAGGAUGUGGGGGUCAUCUCCACGAGGAGGUUGUGAGUGGCCGUGGGAGUCAUUAUGGAGAGAAGUGGGAAUUGCCUGUGUUUGGUCUAACAGCGAUGUUGCUCACCUAGCAAACAAUGAAUCAGUCUUCCCUCUGGAACCCAGGACCCUGGACACCCCCCAGGCAGCUGGACUUAAGUGAGCUGUGGAGUCCUAGGAACUUCUGUUCCCAGUUCAAGUACAGCUUGGGCAGAUUCACUUGUGGCCCAGCCAAGACUUCAAGUUCACAAAUUGUUUAAAACCAUCUUCACUUCUCAUUGGUAAACAGCAUGUCUACCAAUCUAUAUUGAGAAAAUUAGUGUUUUCCUGCCGUGUUUUCUGGUACAUUACCUAAACUCAAUGUGUAACCUACACACGGUGUCUCCCUGCUUGCUAGCGCUGGAUCACAAUGUUUCAUACCAACGAUGGGCGUCUCAGCAAUGAUUUGACAGAUAAUAAAAUAAAAAGAAGAAGGAAAAGAAGAAGAGCAAGCUUGUAGUGCGAUUUUUCUAGUCUGUUCUUCCCCAACUCCGUCAUUGGACUGGAAGGAAUGAAGACAUACAAUUUAACCAGUAUGUUUACACACGUCUAACUGAUACUUUUCUUUGGGAAAUUAAUUGAAUUACAUCUAUAAAAUACUUACAUUGUAAGCUUAUCAAGCUGAGAUGAGUUCAAACAAUUAGAAGAAGAUGUUUACAUUACCAAUAAAAGAUUAGUACCUCGAGGAGCAACAGUGAAAGCUGUCUCAUACUCAGAACCUUCUCAUUAGCUUCAUGACACUUUAGAGGGAGUGUGGAGAAAGCCCCGCAGUGAAGUCUUGACUGAAUAUGUGCCGUUGAUGUCGGCACCACCACGUACCUCCAGACCAGAUGUGGAUGUUGAAAUGUACUAAAAGAGUGCACCAUAGCCUUCUCUACUGGGUGUUCAUUACAGAGACCCGUUCCUGUUGCGGUCAGCUAAAUUGGGUCCCUUUGAUCCAGAUCUGUACCCUAAACAUUGCCUUCUUCUUUAUCUGUAUGUAAUAAUCUAUCCUCCUCGUCCUGCUACAUGCAAUAACAUCGUCUCUCUGUUCAACCCGGUGUAAUAAACAUGCUUAAUAUC